AUUGAAUAAUUAAUCGUGCAAUUCGGUAGUAUUUAAUACCCUUAUAUUAUGUUUAUUUUUUUCUAGAAAAAAUUUUAUUGUUAUUGUAUAUCUAUAGAUUUAAUAUAUUUUAUAAUAGUUUAUUAGUAAUGUGAGUGAUUAAUUAAUUAAGUUUUUUUAAGUUGAUUUUAUUUAUUGUACCUUGUGUAUCAGGGUUUAUUUAAAUUAUAUAUUUAUAGUUGUUUUUCUCGAUUUUUAAAGAGCUAAAUUAUUAUUAUUAUUAUUAUUAUAUAAAUAUAUUUAAUAUUAUUUAGUAGUGAAAUGUUAGUCGUUUUUUAAGGUAUCUAGUUUCUGAAGAAAUAAAUUUAAUUUAUCAUUAGUUUUAAUUUAUAUAUAUUAAUAUAUUUAUUUUAAUUAUUAGAUAUUCUUUAAAGGAUAAACUUUAAUUUGAAUAUUUUCUAUAAUAUAGAGUGGUUUAUUAUUUAAUAAUUGGGUUUAAAAGUAUCUAAAUUUUAAAUUAUGUUAAAAUUUAAUUUAUGUUGAUAGUUGAUUUGUAUUUAUAUUUAGUUAUUUUAUUUGGACAUAUUAAUUAAUUUGUAAUUAAUAGAUUUUAUGAUGUAAUUAGUAUAGAAAAUUAUUGAUUUAUUAUUUUAAGUUGGUAAUUUAAAAUAAGGAAUUUAGCAAUAUAUUUAUAUUCGUUUGUUUAUCAAAAACAUUUUUUUUAGUUAUGAUUUAAAAUAUAACCUGCCCACUGAAAAUUAUUUAAAGGGCCGCGGUAUUUUGACCGUGCAAAGGUAGCAUAAUCAUUAGUUUCUUAAUUAGGAACUGGUAUGAAUGGUUGGACGAGAUAUAAACUGUCUUUUUUUAAUUAUUUGAAGAAUUUAAUUUUUAGAUAAAAAAGUCUAAAUUUUUUCAUGGGACGAGAAGACCCUAUAGAGUUUUAUAAUUUACAUAAUUUUAUUUUAUGUGAGAAUUAUUUUAAAUUAUAUAAAUUAUUUUGUUGGGGUGACAGUAAGAUUAAAUUAACUCUUAUUAAUUAAUUAUAUUUAUUUAUAAAUUUAUGAUCCAUUAUUAUUGAUUAUAAGAUAAAAUUACCUUAGGGAUAACAGCGUAAUUUUUUUGGAAAGUUCAUAUUAAUAAAGAAGAUUGCGACCUCGAUGUUGAAUUAAGAUAAAUUAUAAAUGUAGAAGUUUAUAUAAUUAGGUCUGUUCGACCUUUAAAAUCUUACAUGAUUUGAGUUCAAACCGGUGUAAGCCAGGUUGGUUUCUAUCUAUGAAAAGUGAAGAUAUUUUAGUACGAGAGGACCAAAUAUUUUAAAUAAUUUAUUGAAUUGAUUACUAAUAAACUACUUUGGCAGAUUAGUGCAAUGGAUUUAGAAUUUAUAAAUG
rnacentral:rRNA from 1 species